NGAUGCGAUCAUACCAGCCCUAAAGCAUCGGAUCCCAUCAAAACUACGAAGUUAAGCGUGCUUGGGC
rfam:Hordeum vulgare subsp. vulgare, WGS project CAJW01000000 data, contig: morex_contig_717957